rnacentral:rRNA from 1 species
AACAAACGCUGGCGGCGUGUCUUAAGCAUGCAAGUUGAGCGGCAAGGAGGAGAGAUCCUCCCUAGAGCGGCGGACUGGUGAGUAACGCGUGGGUAAUCUAUCGUAGGCAUGGGGAUAGUCACUAGAAAUAGUGGGUAAUACCGAAUACGUUCCAUGAGGGGAGUAUUCAUGGAAGAAAGGGUGCUACGGCACUGGCCUUAGGUGAGCUCGCGUCCCAUUAGCUAGUUGGUGAGGUAAAGGCCCACCAAGGCGAUGAUGGGUAGCCGGCCUGAGAGGGUGUACGGCCACACUGGGACUGAGAUACGGCCCAGACUCCUACGGGAGGCAGCAGCUAAGAAUAUUCGCAAUGGACGAAAGUCUGACGGAGCGACGCCGCGUGGAUGAAGAAGGCCGAAAGGUUGUAAAGUCUUUUGCUAGGGGAGAAUAAGUGAGGAGGGAAUGCCCUCAUGAUGACAAGGACUAGCGAAUAAGCCCGGCAACUACGUGCCAGC